AUGGGUUCCAAAAUCAGGGUCAGAGCUGAGGGAGGGGAAACGGCACCCGAGGAGCCCAGAGGGAGCAGCCAGGUCCGCUGGGAGGUGGCAGCACCAUCCGUGGUGGGGACAGGCGGGUCCCCACCCCAAGAGCCCCUUCACAGACCUUGGGGGCCAUCCCAGGAGUCCUGUGCUCACCAGGGGCCGAUGGCCACUGUCACAGCUGUCCGGUUGUGCCCCAGUGGCCGCUGUCACAGCUGUCCAGGUGUAUCCUGGUGGCUGCUGUCACAGCUGUGUCCCUAUGGCCACUGUCACAGCUGUCCAGUUGUGCCCUGGUGGCCGCUGUCACAGCUGUGUCCUGGUGGCCUCUGUCACAGCUGUCCAGGUGUGUCCCUGUGGCCACUGUCUGGGUGUGUCCUUGUGCCCGCUGACAGCCCUGGUGGCUCCUUGGG
rnacentral:lncRNA from 1 species